rnacentral:rRNA from 1 species
UACGAAGGUGGCAAGCGUUGUUCGGAUUUACUGGGCGUACAGGGAGCGUAGGCGGUUGGAUAAGCCCUCCGUGAAAUCUCCAGGCUUAACCUGGAAAGUGCAGAGGGGACUGUUCAGCUAGAGGAUGGGAGAGGAGCGCGGAAUUCCCGGUGUAGCGGUGAAAUGCGUAGAGAUCGGGAGGAAGGCCGGUGGCGAAGGCGGCCCCCUGGUUGGAUACUGACGCUGAGACGCGAAAGCGUGGGGAGCAAACAGG